UAUUUUUUCUAAAGGCGAUUAUACAGAGGUUUUCACGUGUAAUCUGAACAUCUAUAUCUAUAUCUAUAUCUAUAUCUAUAUACUCUUAAUACAUGCUAGUGAAGCCCCAAAAAUACUCCAAAAAAUACCCAUCAGUUUGCCUGAUCCGUUAACCCGUUAACCCAUUUACCCGUUUCUGUUUUUUCUCUUGGAUAAUUGAUCGUGCUGCUCCCUUAUCUCCCACGUCCUAUUUCAAAAUUUUGAAUUCCAGAUAUUGCAAAACCAUCUUCAAGCUUUAUGGAUAUCUCAGCAAUCUUCUACCAUUGAUGUAUACAACAAUCUUCAGUAAUGAAGCGAGGUUUUGAUACAAUUGCAGAAUAUGAGUCAACGGGUAUCAGGUUAUCCACAGAGCAUUUCAAAUUUGUAUCUUAAUGUCGUGCUAAUAUAUCCUAAACGGAUUGAUUGCAUGAUCAAAGAAACGGGCAUGGAACAUCUCUGUUAGGAGAUGUAUACAUCCAUGUAAAUAUGUCUCCAACGAGAAAUCCGUGCUAGGAGUCCCAUUCACAGCAUCUUUUUUGCCAGCAAAAGGAAUCAUCGAAGACUGGGAAUAUGUACAAGCAUCUUAUCUCAGUCAUCUGCUUCUAUUCAUGUAUGAGGACAAUCCGCUGUUUUUUGCUCAUCAAGACUUUAAUAAAGUCGGCAAGUUCAAGCAACCUUUAGCAAGUAGCAUGGUUGAUAUCGUCACUAGCUCCUGUCCCGGAUAUCAUUAUGAUUGUGAACAAGUAGUCACACUGUUUAGUUGGUUCAAUUGUUGGCGCUGCAAUUGGUUGAUGGAUAAAUUUCAGAUUUGGGCAAAAGAAAUCAAUCUUGCUACCCUAUGUGCCAUUUUUUGCUGGCGGUAAUUAAUCCUUUUGUUGGCCCAAAGAUGAUUGUACAUUAUGGAAGAAGAAAAUUUGUAGGUUCAGGAUUUAAAAGCUACCGGAUGCUUCGUAACCAUGGUUUUUGCAGGUGAAUUCAAGUUGCAGGUUUUUGCAGGUGAAUUCAAGUUAAAGGUUUUUACAGUUGUUUCAACAGGUAGUACUAAACAAUGGGCUAAACCAGAUUAUCAUUUGGACAGUCAAAGUAAAUUAUGGAACUAGGAAAAGAGAAGUUAUAGAACUGUGAGAAAGCUGGUGGGAUGGUACAAAAUCUAAUCAUUUGCUUCAAAUUCGAGAGCGAAGCAGUGUGCAAAAAGAUUUUUCAGGUGUUUGUAUGGAUUCUAAUCACAAUCCUGCGGUGAAUAGCAAAAUGAAACGGGUACCAUACACCAAGAAGACCUGCUCUGUCUUUAUUGUUUGUGCUUUGCUCUAUUUUCUUACUGAAGCUAAUAACUGGUACACUCUUUAUGUACACACACGAAUCACAAAAUAUGUGGUACCCCUUUUGGAUCUCCCUAGGCCUUCUGACAAAUUUGGACAGGGUAAAAUUGGCUCAAUACAUCUAAUCAAAAUCUUAAGAAUGGUUUCAUUGUAUUGGACCAAUUUCACAGGGUAAAAAUAUUAUUGAACCAAUUUUAGAUUGGGGGAGUACAUGAAGUAAAUGGCAAUGAUCUCAUUUUGCAUAAACUCCCCCCUGUUACACUCCAACAAGUCCCCUUCCCCAACCUAAAUAGCUGAUCACCCUUCCUUUAUAUUUUUGUUUGGCUAAUACAACAAUGUGAAUAGAGUCUAAUUCAGUACCAAUCAUCCAGGCCUACAAACUGUCAUAAGCUGUUACAUUCACUUAAUAAAGAAAUAAGAUAUGAAUUGAUAUAGAAGUAUAGUUUAUAACACUGGCAAGUAUUUCAGGAACAAAACUCAGUAGUUAAACAUUUACUUAAUACAAUUCACAAAAUGCAUAUGAUUCAGUAUUCAAAAACUUUGCCAGCUGAAAUGGUCUUCUUUUAAAUACACAAGCACACACGUUAUCGAAAUACACCCUAGCAAUAUGCAUGACAAAGUUCAUAACUUUGCAGAGUGACAUAUCUUAAAUUUAAAAAAUUGACACAGACCGGGUAUAGAGCUGGUAGAUAGACUAGAGAAACUUUCCAUAGACCUGAAAGUGUAUGUAAAUUUUUGCAUCUACUAAAUAUAGUUUCAAGUUCUGCAAAUUGGCAGGGCACGAGCUGUUGUUGAAAAGAACCAGUACCUCCUCUUCGUACUUCUGGCAAGAAUAUGUCGACAAGAUUUGCAGGUUGAUUUUAAAAUAAAUCAAUGAAGAUUUUAUAGUGAAAUGACAGGUAUUAACAACCAGUUUUAUGAUUGAUUUUCGCAUUACAUUAUAGUUUCCGGACGUAUUUAUUUUCAAGAUGCAGCAAUCUUGGUCUUACUUUCUAGAAAGUCUCGGAGAUUCGAGGAGGUGUUUGUGGCAUGUUGUUGGGGUUCUGGUGAGCAUACUAGGUUUGGUAGUUCUGCAGUCAGCUUUGGUAUCUUGCUGAGUCAUUUUGGGUGGUUAUUAGUUCUGGUACAGCCUUGGUAUCUUGCCGAGUAUUUUAUUUUUUGCUGAGGGUUAAGUGCGGUUGUGAAUGGUAUUUUUCUGUUAAUUGGGUUCAGGACCUGUAAGUAUUGCUGUACCUUGGCUUCCCAUAUUUUUAUUCUCAAUCAUUUAAGCUGGCCAGGUUGUAUUGGGAUAGUAGUUCAGUGGUUAUAUAAUAUUUGCCUACUUUGGAUUGUCUGGGACUUAUUGUGUGGGUCAUUGGUAUUGCUCAGAAGUGAUCAGUGCAUGGUCAGAGUGUUGUGUGGUAGAUUCAAUUAUUUGGAAUGGUUGGGGAGGGUGCUGUUAUCUCUGGCCGGAAGUUUUUAGUUUUAUUUGGCUUGCUUUUUAUUUUUUUAUACGUUGGAGGACAUGCAUAUUUAUUUUCUAUAGUUAGUUGGUUGUUUUGCCUCUUUGAGUUUGUUAUUCGAGGUUUUGUUUUCCAGAUAGGAGUCCUCUCUUUGUAUUUUUUUCUCUCUAUGUUAUAAAAUUUAUACGAGGUGCCGCCCUUAUUUACCGAAAAAAAGAGUAUGCGUUUGAUUACUGUUGUAGAAAUUAAUAUUGUAUGUGGCGUUAUUCUGUACUUUGUUAUCAUCCAUGUCGGGAUUCAAGAUUUUAAUCUCUAAUUUGUUGGAUUGAUUUUACAGGUCUUGGUAUGAACAACAAAAUGAAUUAGAAUGCUAUCUCCGUCCUUAAACGAAGAUAUUAUUGCAUCUUGACUUUCUCGGAACCGGAGGAAGUAGUCAAUAUAAAGAAUAAGCAUAUUCUGGGGUAUUUGACAAAUAUGAGUGCGAUUGUGCGGCGGCCAAGUUACGAGGUCGUGGUCCAGGUGCCAACAAUAUGGGGGAUUCCCAACAACCGGUGCUUGCUCAUCACAAAGAUCCAUUAGUUGCUCCUAGGCGUAGAGGUAGACGUCCAGGAGUUGAGAAACUUCUGGCACAGAGAUUUGGCGAGGAAAGUGGCAACACAAUAAAGGAUCAGACUUCUGCAGAAGAUGGCAACAUUUAAAUCACAAAGAUGUGGCAAAUUCUGGCAGUAUAGGUGAUAGGAAGUUUUUUACACUGAUUUGCAGACAAAUUUCGGUUUAAUGACACUAGCUUUCUAAAAUAUCAACUUAGCAAAAAAAUGUGGAAAUAAUGACAAGAGCAGAGUGAAAGGGAUGAGUUAAAGCACCUCUUCUUAUAUAAAACACAUCAGACAUUGAUAAUAUAAUUCUGCCUCUGGGGGUGUUAGCCGUAUUGGUCGCGGUCAUGUUAGUGGUAAAAAAUUCAAUGUUAUGUAUAAUAGUGACAAGGAGAACAGUCCAGCGUCUAUGGAUGUUUGUGGAAAAUCAGAGGUUUCUGCUGAUCAGGAGCAGGUAGUGAUAGUCUGUUAGUAGAUCAAGCUAAGCAGAAGAAGGAUAUUUAGGUGGAUGUGACUAUGUGGUCUGUAGAUGAUAUUUUGGGUGAUAAAGUUAAAGAGUGUGAGUUUAGUGGCAGUAAGCUGCAUCCUGAAGAAUUAACAAUAAUGGAGCAAAGGAUUGAAGGAGGAGAAAAAUGUGAAGCGAGUGCAGAACAGAUUGAUCUGUGUCGAAAAGGAGUACAUGUCAGAGCUUGAUGAAACGAAUUAUUUUAUGAUGCAGGGGAUUGAUCAACAGGUGCAAGGUGGUGAGUGUACAGGGUGGGAGUCUGAUGACAAGGAGAACAAAGACAAGCUGCUGAUUUGAUUUUAGCAAGUUUCUCAUCUUCUUUGUAGUUAAAAUGAUAUAAUUUUUAAUAAAUUCAUUAAAAUAUUGUUAAUAUCACAAUGAUAUAUUAUUUAUCAAUUAUUUGUCUGAAAGAUGUUUAUUAUA